rnacentral:rRNA from 1 species
CCUACGGGGGGCAGCAGUGGGGAAUAUUCGGCAAUGGGCGCAAGCCUGACCCAGCGACGCCGCGUGAAGGAAGAAGGCUUUCGGGUUGUAAACUUCUUUUGUCAGGGAAGAGUAGAAGACGGUGCCUGACGAAUAAGCCACGGCUAACUACGUGCCAGCAGCCGCGGUAAUACGUAGGUGGCAAGCGUGGUCCGGAUUUACUGGGGGUAAAGGGCGUGUAGCCGGGUUGACAAGUCAGAUGUGAAAUCCUGCGGCUUAACCGAAGAACUACAUUUGAAACUGUUGAUCUUGAGUACUGGAGAGGCAGACGGAAUUCCUAGUGUAGCGGCGAAAUGCGUAGAUAGUAGGAGGAACACCAGUGGCGAAGGCGGUCUGCUGGACAGCAACUGACGGUGAGGCGCGAAAGCGUGGGGAGCAAACAGGAUUAGAUACCCGUGUAGUC